rnacentral:tRNA from 1 species
UCUAAAGUAGUCAAAUUAUGACGCAGGGUUUAAGCCCUUGAAGUAUAAAUUAUCCUUAGAA